AGAACGAACGCUGGCGGCAUGCCUAACACAUGCAAGUCGAACGAGACCUUCGGGUCUAGUGGCGCACGGGUGCGUAACGCGUGGGAAUCUGCCCUUGGGUUCGGGAUAACAGUUGGAAACGACUGCUAAUACCGGAUAAUGACUUCGGUCCAAAGAUUUAUUGCCCAGGGAUGAGCCCGCGUAGGAUUAGCUAGUUGGUGAGGUAAAGGCUCACCAAGGCGACGAUCCUUAGCUGGUCUGAGAGGAUGAUCAGCCACACUGGGACUGAGACACGGCCCAGACCUCCUAACGGGAGCAGCAGGUGGGGAAUAGUUGGACAAGUGGGCGAAAGCCUAGACUCCAGCAAGUGCCGCGUGAGUGAUGAA
rnacentral:rRNA from 1 species